rnacentral:sRNA from 1 species
AUGUACCACUCGUACACUCCGGUUCCUGUGCGCCGUCCGCACCCACCUGACGACUGCUCGCUACGUUUUGUUGGCC